CCCUUACACACAUUCAAUGCAUCCCAUACAUACACAGAAACACACCUUGCAGUCCUUACACAUACAAACACAAUUUCACACAAUGCAUUCCUUACACACAUAUCAGGACAUCCCCUACACUCUCCACCCCCUGUGAACAAACUCAUUGGUGGAACAUGAAGGUGGACCCUGGGACCCAGACCUUGAGCUGUGUAAAGGACCCC